GACGAACCGUGCGAACGUUAUUCGGAAUCACUGGGCUUAAAGGGCGCGUAGGCGGGCCACCAAGUCCGGGGUGAAAUCCUCCAGCUCAACUGGAGAACUGCCUCGGAUACUGGAGGUCUCGAGGGAGAUAGGGGCACGCGGAACCGUGGGUGGAGCGGUGAAAUGCGUUGAUAUCCAUGGGAACUCCGGUGGCGAAGGCGGCGUGCUGGAUCUCUUCUGACGCUGAGGCGCGAAAGCCAGGGGAUCAAACGGG
rnacentral:rRNA from 1 species